GUGGGGAAUUUUCCGCAAUGGGCGAAAGCCUGACGGAGCAAUGCCGCGUGGAGGUGGAAGGCCUACGGGUCGUCAACUUCUUUUCUCGGAGAAGAAACAAUGACGGUAUCUGAGGAAUAAGCAUCGGCUAACUCUGGGCCAG
rnacentral:rRNA from 1 species